CCUACGGGUGGCUGCAGUCGAGAAUCAUUCACAAUGGGGGAAACCCUGAUGGAGCGACGCCGCGUGGGGGAAUGAAGUUCUUCGGAUUGUAAACCCCUUUCAUGUGGGAGCAAAUUAAAAAGAUAGUACCACAAGAGGAAGAGACUGCUAACUCUGUGCCAGCAGCCGCGGUAAUACAGAGGUCUCAAGCGUGGUUCGGAAUCACUGGGCGUAAAGCGUGCGUAGGAGGUUUCGUAAGUCGUGUGUGAAAGGCGAGGGCUCAACCCGCGGACGGCACAUGAUACUGCGAGACUAGAGUAAUGGAGGGGUAAGCGGAAUUCGCGGUGUAGCAGUGAAAUGCGUAGAUAUCGAGAGGAACACUCGUGGCGAAGGCGGGUUCCUGGACAUUAACUGACGCUGAGGCACGAAGGCCAGGGGAGCGAAAGGGAUUAGAUACCCGGGUAGUC
rnacentral:rRNA from 1 species